rnacentral:pre_miRNA from 1 species
UACUCAGGGAGGCGUCAUUCACAUAAGUUGAUAUAUGAAUGGCACCUUUUUGAGUAGG